AAACAACAGGAACUGUGCAUGUUUACUUGGUAUAUUGUGGGGAAAAUGGAUGGAAUUGUUCUUAUACUUCUCCCAAGCUUCAUUAAAAUUUAUGUGUCAUCUGCCACCCCGGAUCCUAACAUGUGUGGAAUGCGGUGUUGUGCGGGCUAUUUUCUUCAUAAUGAGAUAUGUACAGUGUGCAGGUCUGGUCAAAUUGGGGAAAACUGCAGUCAAGCGUGUCCUACUGGGUUUUAUGGAGAGCUUUGCAGGAAUGAUUGUCCAUUUGAAUGUAAGAACAACUGUAAUGAGGUCACGGGAAG